rnacentral:rRNA from 1 species
UACGUAGGGUGCAAGCGUUGUCCGGAAUUAUUGGGCGUAAAGAGCUCGUAGGCGGUCUGUCGCGUCGAAUGUGAAAACCCCGGGGGCUCAACCCCGGGCCUGCAUUCGAUACGGGCAGACUAGAGUUCGGUAGGGGAGUCUGGAAUUCCUGGUGUAGCGGUGAAAUGCGCAGAUAUCAGGAGGAACACCGGUGGCGAAGGCGGGACUCUGGGCCGAUACUGACGCUGAGGAGCGAAAGCGUGGGGAGCAAACAGG